GUUCCCAGCGGCUCUCUGUUUCAUAUGUGAUAAAGUGUAUUUUUCAACGUUACUCGUGGACUCUUCCCUCCCUCUCCUCCCCGGCCUGUUCCCUCUGUCUGCGUCUCCUCGGCUGCCCUGCAAAGAGGUUCUUCAAUACCAUCUUUGUAGAGUCCACACACACGCCUUAACAUACAUUUGUUUUUUCUCUUCCUGACUUCACUCUGUAAAAUAAGCGCCAGGCUCUUCUACUUUAUUCUCUUUCUAGUUCAUCCUGCCUUCCUGGUUCGGACCACGCUCCGCGAGCUGCGGGAGUUCCAAUCUUCCCCGCGCGUCCGGGGGCGGCGGCUCCCGGCUCUGCAGCUCGCAGGUUUCAAAAGGCAUCAGUUGAUUUGUUCUCGUCACCACCAGACAAGACCUCGGGUGGGGACCACCAGGGAACACCCCAGGAAUCGCCAUCUUCCCGGGUUCCAGGUGUCCAGUGCUGCCCACAUUGGUCUGGGAUGGGGGCAUCAAGGAAAGGGAGAUUUGAAAGCUCUGGACUGAAUCUUGAAAACAAACAGAAAACAUUGAAAAAUUUGUUGAGAUAAUGAGCCACUUCAUUCAAGGCAGUGCAAUGGCACACACAAGUAAAAGUGUUAGUUGCUUCAGUCAUGUGCAACUCUUUGCAACCCUAUGGACUGUAGCCCAUCAGGCUCCUCUGUUCAUGGGAUUCUUCAGGCAAGAACACUGGAUUGCCAUGCCCUCCUCCAGGGGAUCUUCCUGACUCAGGGAUCGAUCAGGGGCGUCUUACUUCUCGGGCAUUGGCUGCAGGUUCUCUGCCACUAGGCACCUGGGAAGCCCCAUGGACCACCCUCUCUCAGGCAAGGCUCCAUUUUUCGCCAGCUCCCAGGCUGGGACACAGGGAGAGAGGCAGGAGGCCUACACCUCACGUUCUGAAAACUCAAGAUGUGAUGAAAGUCGGCAUGGAGGACCUGUGAUUUGCUCUCCCCUUUCUGUUAACCUGUGCCAAGAGAGCCACUGAGGAGGAGCUUCAUCCCCCAAAUCUUUGUGCUUUUGGGUGGAAGGAUGCAUUUUGAUAAGGGACUCUGAAAAAGUCAAUGAUGAUCAAAGAAAGGAAAAAACAACAACAACAACAACAGUGGAUUAAUGUCAGGCAGAACAAACUUUGCGUGAUUUAUGUCAAUGUGUGUAAGAGUGGAUUUGAUGUGUCAAUAUAGCAGCUCUGGUACAUAAAUGCCGGGUGAGAUGGUGCUAUGAAGGUAUUCUUUAGAUAUUAUUAACAUUUAGAUCAGCAGACUCUGAAUAAAGCAGUGGAGUACCCUCCA
rnacentral:lncRNA from 1 species